UUUUUAAUUAUUUAUUUUUUUAUAUUUAAUUAUUUAUUUUUAGUAUUUAAUAGAAAUUAUUAACUUUUUUACUCGAGAUUUUUAAUUAUUAAAAUAGUUUAAGUAUUUUAUAGUACCUUUUGUAUCAGGGUAAGUUAAAAUUUAAAUGUAUUUAUUUUUCCCGAAUUAAAGAGAUUUAAUUUUAAAAUAGUUAAUUGUGGUAAAUAUUUUUUUAAUUUAAUUUUAGUAGUGAAAAGCUAAUCGAUCUUUAGGUUAUCUGGUUACUUAAUAUAUAAUUAAAUUAUAGAUUUAUGAAUAUAUUUUUAUUAUUUGUGUUUAAAUCUAAUUUUGUUAUGGAUAAUCUUAACAUUUUUUUUUCAAUUUUGUUUAUUAUAUUUUUAUUAGUUUUUAAAUUUUACAUGUAGUUUUUAAUAAAUUAAAAUAAUUUUAUAAAAUAUUAUAUUAAUUAAUUUUUUUAUUAGGUUUUUUAAAUUAAUUUAAAAUUUAUUUUAAUAAUGAUUUAAUUAGUAUAAUUGUUAUUUAAUUUAUAAUUAACUCGACAAAAAUUAUUUUCAACUGUUUAUCAAAAACAUUUCCUUAUGAACAUAAUAUAAGGUAGUUCCUGCUCAAUGAUUAUUUAAAUAGCUGCAGUAAUUUGACUGUACAAAGGUAGCAUAGUAAUUAGUCUCUUAAUUGGGGACUAGAAUGAAUGGAUUAAUGAAAAAUAUAUUUUAUUAAUUUUAUUAUUAUAAUUUAAUUUCUAAGUAAAAAAGCUUAGUUAUUUUUUUGGGACGAAAAGACCCUAUAGAACUUUUUAUUUUAUAAAUUAUUUUUAGUUUUUUUAUAUUUUUAUGUAUUUUGUUGGGGUGACAAAUAAAUUUAGGCUUUAUUUAAUUUUUUCAUUAAUUUAUGUUUUUUUGAUCCUUAUUUUUGAUUUCAAGAUAAAGUUACCUUAGGGAUAACAGCGUAAUUUUAAUGGGGAGUUCUUAUUUAUAUUAAAGUUUGCGACCUCGAUGUUGAAUUAAGAUAAGUAUAAGGGGUAGAUUCUUUCUAAUCUAAGUCUGUUCGACUUUUAAAUUCUUACAUGAUUUGAGUUCAAACCGGUGUAAGCCAGGUUGGUUUCUAUCUGAAUAAAUCAAUAUUUUUUUAGUACGAAAGGACCAUUAAAUACAAUUUUUAUUGUUAUAUUUAAAU
rnacentral:rRNA from 1 species